GACAGAGGUGCCAAGCGUUUAGGCGGAAUCACUGGGCUUAAAGCGUGUGUAGGCGGAAUUGUAAGUACCUUGUGAAAUCCCACGGCUCAACCGUGGAACUGCUCGGUAUACUGCUUUUCUUGAGCCGCUUAGGGGCUGUCGGAACAAACGGUGGAGCGGUGAAAUGCGUAGAUAUCGUUUGGAACGCCAACGGUGAAAACAGACAGCUGGGAGUGUGCUGACGGCUGAGACACGAAAGCCAGGGGAGCGAACGGG
rnacentral:rRNA from 1 species